AUUGAUUACUUCAGCACGUGCAGGGCUUCUUUGAUCAUAUCCAGGACUUCUCCCACCACUACUCCCACCAGGACUAGGCCUGUUGCUGUAUCGUCGCUCAUAUACUUCCUCAUUUGGUGGGCUUCGAGGCCCGCUUUGGUAGGUAUCUGUCUUCCUGUUUUCGCUUAAGUUCUCAGCUUCAGCCUGCAGAAUUUAAAUAUUUUAUACGAUGGAAUGUGUUCAACCAGCAGAUCUCGCAAGUUUAGAAGACGGAGAUCUACUAAGUGACGACAUCACGGAAAUUCUUCUCCUACCCACUUUGGUAGGUAUCUGUCUUCCUGUUUUCGCUUAAGUUCUCAGCUUCAGCCUGCAGAAUUUAAAUAUUUUAUACGAUGGAAUGUGUUCAACCAGCAGAUCUCGCAAGUUUAGAAGACGGAGAUCUACUAAGUGACGACAUCACGGAAAUUCUUCUCCUGUAAGGAGCACAAUGAGCUAUUAUAAAAUUCAAAAUUGAGGAUGAGCAGGAUAGGAUAGGCACCAUU
rnacentral:lncRNA from 1 species